GUGAAAUCAACAAAACAAAAAACUCCCAAAAUACACCUACACACACAUCAAUCACAGAAAUUGAAUUCAGCUAAUCAUGCAAGCCAUUAGCUUAAAGCACACAAAGAGAAACACAACAAGGAAACUCCCAUACACAACCACACAAAUUUUUAAUCCUUAAAUCUUACACACAUACAACUUUAGAAUCCUUAAUUCCCCCUACACUGCAAGUCAUUCUCGGAGCACAUCGCACAUAAGUUUCAUAGAGACCAAUGAAUCACAAACCACACUAAAGGAAGAACCCAAGGAAUUUUUCAACGUAAAGUUACAAAGCCCUAAUUUAUGUAAAAAUUUAAAAAUGACACAAGAAGAAUCCAGAGACAAUCUCAAUGAAAGACACCAACUGAGAGCCUAUGACAACAUAUAUUUAGAGUUUCAAAGAAUCCAACAAAAGGAAAUAAUCUUCCUUUCAAGCAUUCAACCACAAUGCAUGUCAAAAUUAAAUUACAGAAAUUGAACCUAGCAAACCAAUCUGCCCUGUAACAAAUAAAGUGAAACCAACAAAAUAAAAACCUCCCUAAACACAUACCUACGAACACAAGAGGCACAAAAAUUGAAUUCACUGCUUAAAGCACACAAGGAGAAAAAUAAUAGGGAAACUCCCAUACACACAGCCACAUAAAUUUUUAAUCCUUAAAUGCUACACAACCAUAGAAAUUUAGAAUCUUUAAUUCCUCCUACACUACAAAACAACAAGGAAACUCCCAUACACAUAUUUAGAGUUUCAAAGAAUCCAGCAAAAGGAAAUAAUCUUCCUUUUAAACAUUUGACCACAAUGCAUGUCAAAAUUAAGUUUCAAAAAUUGAACCCAACGAACCAACCUGUUCUGUAACAAACAAAGUGAAAUCAACAAAACAAAAAACUCCCAAAAUACACCUACACACACAUCAGGCACAGAAAUUGAAUUCAGCUAAUCAUGCAAGCCAUUAGCUUAGAGCACACAAAGAGAAAAACAAGGAAACUCCCAUACACAGCCACACAAAUUUUUAAUCCUUAAAUCCUACACACAUACUACUUUAGAAUCCUUAAUUCUCCUUACACUGCAAGUCAUUCUCGGAGCACAUCGCACAUAAGUUUCAUAGAGACCAAUGAAUCACAAACCACACUAAAGGAAGAACAACCCAAGGAAUUUUCCAAAGUAAAGUUACAAAGCCCUAAUUUAUGUAAAAAUUUAAAAAUGACACAAGAAGAAUCCAGAGACAAUCUCAAUGAAAAAGACACCAACUGAGAGCCUAUGACAACAUAUAUUUAGAGUUUCAAAGAAUCCAGCAAAAGGAAAUAAUCUUCCUUUCAAGCAUUCAAGCACAAUGCAUGUCAAAAUUAAAUUACAGAAAUUGAACCUAGCAAACCAAUCUGUCCUGUAACAAAUAGAGUGAAACCAACAAAAU
rnacentral:lncRNA from 1 species